rnacentral:rRNA from 1 species
GGUGUGAGAGCAUGGCCCCCCACAAUGGGACUGGAACACGGCCCAUACUCCUACGGGAGGCAGCAGCAGGGAAUAUUGCACAAUGGACGGAAGUCUGAUGCAGCGACGCCGCGUGGAUAAAGAAGGCCCUCGGGUUGUAAAAUCCUUUACAGGGGGAAGAGGAAGGACGGUACCCCUGGAACAAGUGUCGGCUAACUACGUGCCAGCAGCCGCGGUAAGACGUAGGACACAAGCGUUAUCCGGAUUUACUGGGCGUAAAGCGUCUGCAGGCGGACAGGUAAGUUGGGCGUGAAAGCUCCGGGCCCAACCCGGAGAGGUCGGUUCAAUACUGCGUGUCUAGAGGGUGUCAGGGGGGAGUGGAAUUUCCGGAGUAGCGGUAAAAUGCGCAGAGAUCGGAAAGAACACCAAUGGCGAAGGCAGCUCCCUGGGGCAACCCUGACGCUAAGAGACGAAAGCUAGGGGAGCGAACAGGAUUAGAGACCCUGGUAGUCCUAGCCCUAAACGAUGGAUGCUGGAUGUGGGGCCAUAGCGCUCCGUGUCGAAGCGAACGCGUUAAGCAUCCCGCCUGGGGACUACGGCCGCAAGGUUAAAACUCAAACGAAUUGACGGGACCCCGCACAAGCAGCGGAGCGUGUGGUUUAAUUCGAUGCUACACGAAGAACCUUACCUGGGUUUGACAUCUAGGUGGUAGUGAAGCGAAAGCGGAGCGACCCUUCGGGGAGCCUAGACAGGUGCUGCAUGGCUGUCGUCAGCUCGUGCCGUGAGGUGUCGGGUUAAGUCCCGUAACGAGCGCAACCCUUGCCCUCCGUUAUACGUGUCAGAGGGGACUGCCGGCGGUAAGCCGGAGGAAGGUGGGGAUGACGUCAAGUCAACAUGGCCUUUAUAUCCAGGGCUACACACACGCUACAAUGGCCAGUACAAAGGGCAGCGAAGCCGCGAGGUGGAGCGAAUCCCAGCAAAGCUGGUCGUAGUUCGGAUUGCAGGCUGCAACCCGCCUGCAUGAAGCUGGAGUUGCUAGUAACCGCGCGUCAGCCAUAGUGCGGUGAAUACGUUCCCGGGGUUUGUACACACCGCCCGUCACGUCAUGGGAGUCGAUAACGCCUGAAGCC